AACUCGGCCGAAAACCUCCUGGCGGCGUAAACGGGAUUGCGCUUCUGGUCUUUGACCACGGAUGUACUGGCACUGAUCAUCGAGGCGCAUAGGAGAGGCCGGGUUCGCCCGGCCUUUUUGUUU
rnacentral:sRNA from 2 species